rnacentral:rRNA from 1 species
UGGGGAAUAUUGCACAAUGGGCGCAAGCCUGAUGCAGCCAUGCCGCGUGUAUGAAGAAGGCCUUCGGGUUGUAAAGUACUUUCAGCGAGGAGGAAGGCGUUGUGGUUAAUAACCGCAACGAUUGACGUUACUCGCAGAAGAAGCACCGGCUAACUCCGUGCCAGCAGCCGCGGUAAUACGGAGGGUGCAAGCGUUAAUCGGAAUUACUGGGCGUAAAGCGCACGCAGGCGGUCUGUCAAGUCGGAUGUGAAAUCCCCGGGCUCAACCUGGGAACUGCAUCCGAAACUGGCAGGCUAGAGUCUUGUAGAGGGGGGUAGAAUUCCAGGUGUAGCGGUGAAAUGCGUAGAGAUCUGGAGGAAUACCGGUGGCGAAGGCGGCCCCCUGGACAAAGACGGACGCUCAGGUGCGAAAGCGUGGGGAGCAAACA